rnacentral:lncRNA from 1 species
GUUCCUUCAUGUAUCACAUACAAACUUUAGCAAUAUUUGUCGGUUUCAUGGUUGUAAGGUACUCCUUGUAAUUUUUCUUCCAGUGGCCCUCCUUGCCACAGUGAUAGCAAGUACCUUUGGUGGAGACCUUCUUCACCUUCUUCUUGGAGAUGCCAGUCUUAGAGUUCAUCUUUUUCUUAGAACCCUUCUUUGUCUUCUUCUUGCUGAUCUUAUCAACAAGAAGGACCUGAGCCUUUUCACCCUUGAAAUAGUUCUCUAUAUUUUCAACAUAUUCAGUAGUUCAAGCAAGCUUAUGUUUAGUUUGUUCAUAUGAUAAUUUAUGACAAACUGAGAAAAAAAGUCAGAGAGAGACUGUCGGAUC